rnacentral:rRNA from 1 species
UCUUAUGUACAUGCCUACAAUGUUAAUGCACCAAAUCCCAUUAGAACUCCAUAGUUAAGUGCGCUUGGGCUGGAGUAGUACUAGGAUGGGUGACCUCAUGGGAAGUCCUAUUGUUUCACAUGCC